rnacentral:rRNA from 1 species
GAGCUUUAAUUAACUAGUUCACAAAUUAUAAUUAAACGCCAAAAGAAAUAAACCCAUUUUAAUUGAACUAGUAAUUUAGGUUGGGGUGACCUCGGAGUAAAAACUAACCUCCGAGAGAAACUGUUAAGACCUAUAAGUCAAAACUACUUCACUAAACACUGAUCCGCCACUGGCGAUCAACGGAAUAAGUUACCCUAGGGAUAACAGCGCAAUCCUAUUUAAGAGUCCCUAUCGACAAUUAGGGUUUAC